rnacentral:lncRNA from 1 species
AGUGUGGUUGCCUGAUGUAUGGGAAGAAUAUGUUUAACUUUGUAAAAACACUGCCAAAUUUUCUCCCAAAGUAGCUGUAUCAUUUUGCUUUCCCACUAGUAGUGAAUGAGAGUACCUGUUACUCCACAUCUUUACUGGCAUUUGGUAUCAUCAGUAUUUUAGAUUUUAGUUAUUCUAAUAGGGGUCUCCUUAUUGCUCGAAUUUGUGUUUCCCUGAUGUGUUAGGCUGCAUUUGCAUCACUAUAAAGAAAUAUCUGAAGCUGGGCAAUUUAUAAAGAAGAGGGGUUUAAUUGGCUCACAGUUCUACAUGCACAGUAAGCAUGGCACUGGUACCUGCCCCUGUUAGGGCCUCAGGAAGUUUACAGUCACGGUGGAAGGAGAAGGAGGAACAGGGGCAUCACAUGGUGAGAGUGGGAGCAGAAGAGAGAGUGGGGAGGGGCCACACUCUUUAAACAACCAGAUCUCACGUGAACAGAGUGAGAACUCACUCAUUAUUGUGAGGACAGCACCAAGCCAUUCAUGAAGGAUCCUCCCCCAUGACCCAAAUACUCCCCAUCAGUCCCCACCGUCAGCAUUAGGGAUUACAGGGAUUACAUUUCAACAUGAGAUUUGGAGAGGACAAGCAUCCAAGCUAUAUCACCUAAUAGCAUAUGAUGUUGAGCAUAUUUUCCUGUGGUUGCUUUUAAGCUAUAUAUCUUCUUUGGUGAGGUGUCUGUUCAGAUGAUUUGUCAAUUUAAUUGGGCUUUUUUUUUUUUAAUUGUGAAUUUUUUUAAAGAGUUCUUUGCAUAUUUUGGAUACAUAUCCUUUACCAACAGUGUUUUGCAAAGAUUUUCUCCUAGUGUGUGACUUGUCUUUUCAUUGUCUUAACAGUAUUUUUCACAGAUAAGAAGAUUCUAAUUUUUUUUUUUUUUUUUUUUUGAGAUGGAGUCUCGCUCUGUUGCCAGGCUGGAGUACAGUGGUGUAAUCUUGGCUCACUGCAACCUCCACCUCCUGGGUUCAAGUGAUUCUCCUGCCUCAGCCUCCCGAGUAGCUGGGACUACAGGUGCGUGCCACCAUGCCCAGAUAAAAUCACGUCAGGAUUUUUCCGGAAAGAGAAUGAUGAGAAGCCAGAAUGAUAGAUAUUAUAUCUGCUAACGUGUGGUCUGGGAGAUAGGACACCUGGCAGGGGAGUGGGUUAGCAGGGCAGAGAUGAUGUUGACCUCUGAUUAGAGCAAAUGCCCAGACUUGGAUUUCAAAAGCUCUUUCCCUUCCAAUGUUGCUGUGCGUAGCAUCCUAGCUUUACCUCUGAACUAAGAACUUCAUGCAAACAUAUUUUCAAUUGAUCUGCCACUUAUUGUUGACUCGAUUAUAAACCACUUAAAGCUUCUGAGACCAGCAGGUACCUAGUUUUGUGUAACACACAUUUGUCUUUAAAAUGCUUUAUAUUUUUUAUAAUUUUCUCCCUCAUAUUACCUAAUUCACAACUCCAUUCUAUUUUAUACACCUUGCAUGUCCCUAUUCAUGCUGAAGCCUCUUCUCACUACAAAAUGAAAGAUAAAAUGAAAUGAUUCUCAGGAAGGCGCUGAGCUUAAACUGAAGCAAGUUCAGUGGAUGCCAGCGGCACCCUGAUCCGAAGAAACCUCUCAGGAUCUGCGGCGCUUGCGUAUCAAAGGAAGGUGUGAGCUCAAAGGUCUGGACCUAGCUUAUAGAAAUGGGACGCUAGUCAUCAAAUACUGUAGAAGAAAGCAGAACCGAGAGAGAGAGAGAAAAAAAAAAAGAACUGUAGACGGUCCUCAAUGAGGAGUUCUUCAGAUAGUAGAAUAUACAGCUGAAAGAAAGAAAGAAGGAAAUCAAGAUCAAAGUCAAAAUCUUGGUCCAGAGAUCUUCAGCCUCGUUCACAUUCUUAUGAUAGAAGACUCAGGCAUCAAUCAAGCAGUGGAUCUCAUGGCUCUAGAAGGAAACUAACUUGAAGUCGUUCAAGGGGUCGAGGGAAAUCCUACGGAGUUAAGAGGUCUAGGUCAAAAAGCAGAAUAAGAAGGCCUUGUCCAUGUUCUCACAGUCAGAGCAGUG